UUUAUGGUACGGUGCGACCGGAUGAUGGUUCACAACGACCGUACAGUUUUUUCAACGGGUCGGUGGGACUUUCGUCCGUUUGUAACGCCAUUUGUCAACGA
rnacentral:pre_miRNA from 15 species